rnacentral:tRNA from 2 species
GCUCCAGUAGCUCAGAUGGAUAGAGCAAUUGCCUUCUAAGCAAUCGGUCACAGGUUCGAGUCCUGUCUGGGGCG